GCAGGGACCCCAGCCGGACGAAUCAAGCUGACGGCAGCACCACAGCCUUAAUCCUGGGACAUCACCUUAAUAUUACAGUAAAGUUAUUACAGGAAUUCCUGCAAAAGCAUGGGGCUCCAUCAACAUUCUCAGCAGUGUUCGAAGUUAAAACAUGGGAAGGAGCGGGGCAAAUGGCAGAGAGAUGGUCCCGAGCGUGGCGAUAAUCCCGGCGCGGAGGCGGCAGCACCGGGGGCUCUAACACCUGCGCCACCCCGCCAGGGACUGGCACCGGUACUGGUGAGGGGUGGAGCGGAGGCCGCCGUUGGCAGUACACCGUUCGCAGGUGGCAGAUCAGCAGCCAGAAACCGAAGCCAGAGCCACACACCCAUGGUGGCGCCGACCCGGGACCCGCACCCACGCCUGCCCGACCCCGCCGCCAGCACCCAUGCCGAGAGAAUAUGAAAUAGGAGCCAAAAUGACAUCCCGGUUUGGAAAGACCUACAGCCAGAAAGGGGGAAACAGCAGUUCCAAGUUUGAAGAAGUGUUUUCCAACAAAUGAACACACCGCACAGUCAAACAACUACUCCAAAAACAAAAAGGGGGAGAUAGCCAAGAAACCCCGCACAACCGAUGAGCAAAAAUAUUAUACGUGAUGAACUAUUUGUCACUACCAUUCCAAAAUGAUGAUACCCUACCUAGAGUAAAACACUAUAAAGCCAUGGGCAAAGCUGCGCUGGAACAGGUUUGCUUCUAGAGGUGCUGCAGCCAGCCAUGGGCAAGGGGAGGAGUUCAUUGCAAUGUUAAAACCUAUAACCUGGGCCAAAGGGACCAGGGGUGGAGAUUGUAAUGGUUCUACCUUUAAAUUGUUGUAACCCAUGAUUUGAGUUGCAUGUUAUGGGAAUUACUACAGCAGGAACCACCCGAACCAAUGGAGGACAAGCCUUUCAAGGACCAGUGCAAGUGCAACAGUGACCCGACCUGAGCUGGCUUUGGUGCUCAGUAACUCCACACAACACCCCACCUCUCCUGUCCUGAGUGACCACAAGAACAGAUGGAGACCAAAGCUGUGGACUAAACGAUAUCCAUGUACUUUAUCAAAGGAUGGAAAGGGGGUGGAGGUUAAUGAGGUUGUACUGGAUAAUGUGGAACCUGAGCAUGAUGUAAAUGGUAUGGAAUAAGGGGUGGAUACUGUCCUGGUUUCAGCUGGGAUAGGGUUAAAUUUCUUCGUACUACCUAGUAUAAGAUUAUGUAUUUAACAAUAUUGGUGGCAAAUAUUCAAUAAAUAGUUUACAUCUGUUA